rnacentral:rRNA from 1 species
UACGUAGGGUGCGAGCGUUAAUCGGAAUUACUGGGCGUAAAGCGUGCGCAGGCGGUUUUGUAAGCCAGAUGUGAAAUCCCCGGGCUUAACCUGGGAAUGGCAUUCGGGACUGCAAGGCUGGAGUGCGGCAGAGGAGACUGGAAUUCCUGGUGUAGCAGUGAAAUGCGUAAAUAUCAGGAGGAACACCGAUGGCGAAGGCAGGUCUCUGGGCUGACACUGACGCUCAUGCACGAAAGCGUGGGGAGCAAACAGG